GCCUAUGCGCUCCCCGCUUUUUUCGCCCAGCUUCUCCUCUAGCUACCUCUAGAAUAUGUUAACUCAUAACCUUCUAUAUAGUAGGCUAUGGUUAACUCUAUGCCCUCCUCCCUCCCGAUCGUGGUUUCGGACUUAAAUGCUGUGGAGGCUUCGUCCCGGGUUUCAUUGUUUCUCGUGUUUUUCGCUGCAGCAAGGCCCUAUCGUGCAUCAUUGUGGAUUCACCGGCUCCUGUCAAAGGAUUGCACGACUUACAGGGGUGUGAUUGGAUGGAAGGCUGAGCAGCAUACCCAGAGAUGUAGCGCUGCUGCUUAAAUCGAUCGGUCUUAUGCUCGAACACUGGGAAUGACGCAGUGCUGGAUUGCAGUUUGAAAAUAACACAACCAGAGACCAGCCUUGGUGACAAGGAUGCUGCAUCGGUCGGUCUUAUACCCCAAGUGGUAGCCUACUUCCAAGAUGAUCUCAGCCAACUCAUACAAAUGCAUCAGAUUCCACAACGGUUUCCUUGUGAAGCUGCCCAGCCAAGGAGGUGCUGCAGCUGGGAAGUCCUCCUCCAAUGAAGAAUACUAUCAUUUUGGUUAACACAACAGGCGGCGUUUUUUCGUUCAUUGCAAACUUUGCAGUCUGGUAUUGAGCAAUGUUGUUUUGUUUAAACUUCUGCAGUGGCCACAGUUCCAAAAGUCGCUUAAGCUCGAAAAUGAACUAUUCUUCUGCGACUGGAUUAGGCAUUCCAUCCCACUGUAGAUUUGCAGCUUCCACGUCUGCCGGUGGGCAUUCCCCUGUCGUGUCAAGACAAGCGCCGCUUCUCUUGUAAGGUGAUAAUACUUUUUUCGUACUCGGAGAGUCAAAAUGUAGUCCAGGCAUACAGGGUGACAGAAGGUAGAACUGCCUAUACCGGAGUGGUUUGUGUGCCGAAUCUGGGACCCGUGGAGCGUGUGAGAUAUCUCUCUUUUUUUUCGUCAGUCCUGCUAAUGUAUUUUGGCAAGUUCGGAAAUACUGCGGGCACGGUGUUUGCUGAGAGGGCAGGAAUGUGGCGUGGUAUCAAGACUGCAGUUCUAUUAAUAAAGUCGUGAACGAUAAACCUAGAGGCAACAGACGGUGGUGAUUGGAUUGAGCUAGUGUGAAAGGCCUCGUGAAUAAUACUAGGAUGGGCAUGCCGCGACGAUGCUGUGCAACACUGUAUGUAUCGUGAGAAACGCCCCAAAACAUGCGACGAGACCAA